ensembl:misc_RNA Metazoa_SRP Metazoan signal recognition particle RNA
GCUGGGCAUGGUGGCGGGUGCCUGUAAUCCCAGUUACUAGGGAGGCUGAGGCAGGAGAAUUGCUUGAACCCAAGAGGCAGGGGUUGCAGUGAGCUGAGAUCGCACCACUGCACUUCAGCCUGGGUGACAGAGUGAGACUCUGUCUCUC